UGAACUGAAAGAACAAAUCGCCUACUUCAGGCGGUGGCAAGCGUAUGGAAAUUAUAUUAGAACUUCAGCAAAGUGCACAGCUGCAUAAUAGAGAAGCCGGCACUCAGAUUGACAGGCAAAUAAGCCAGCUUGUGGAAGGGGCCUCUGGGUGGCAGCUCUGGGCUUUUGGGUGUUGGACAACCAUAGGCAAAACUGAAAUGGAACAGGGGCAGAAAAUAGCACACUUUUACUCUACGCAACUGUUGCUUUUUCAUGAUCUUCAGGAAUUUUACUGGGAUAAUUAUCCAAAUAAAUUGCAAGCAUUCUAUCCAAAUGGAGCUCUUUCUGAGAUGAAGAGAAUUCUCAAUGUCAAGAUUUGAACAAGAAGAGAAUGGAAUACACAAUAUGGACAUCCAUAAAAAUUCAUCAGAGAGCAUUUUACUACUGAGCUGCAAAGAUGACAAGAGCACCUCAAAGGCAGCAGCCUCAAGGAGCAGCCAUGGCCCCAGACUUGUCGCACGGAUGCAGAAAACUUAAUGGAGGAGGCUGAGGUCAGAAUGGGAAGAGUUUUUAAAAAAUAAAAAGGGGAGCUAAUAUGUGAGGAACUGAUUGCUGUGCAUUAUUUUCCACUGAACAGACCUUCUUUUAACUUCUAAUCUCAAGCACAUAGCAGCUGUUGUUUUCAUAUUAAAGAUCAGUAAGUGUUUGUUGAAUGAAUGUAUAAAUUCUUCCCCAAUCUCUGUUCCAUGUAAUAAGAACUAAGUUAGCAUUCAAUUAUAAAGAGGACUUAGAAAGUCUGCAGACAUUUUUGAUCAAAAAUCCUUUUAACUGUCUUCUUAUGGUUCCCGGUAACACCUAAGCCCAAAAAACUCAGGUCAUUUCUUGCCUGUACUGUUGCAAUAGCCUCAUAAUAACUAGUCUUCUCCUUUAUCAACCACAGUCGUCUCCGCUACACAAAGAAGAGAGGGUGCUAAUCUAAAGUGUAAAUUAUUUUAAAUCAGCACCCUUCUUGUAAUUUCCCAGUGGUUUUUCCUGUCAUAAGAAUAACAUGCAAAAUUCCUUGCUUGCAAAGCCAGGUAUGACCUUGCCCCGUCUACCUUACUGGCAUCGUCUCUCAUGACUCUUCCCCUUUUUCACUCUCCAUCUUGCCUUUUCCCAACCAUGCCUGCUAGUGAGCCUUAGCCCUUGUGUUUUCUCUGCCAGGGAUGCAUGACUGGCUUCUUUACUUUAUUCUGAUCUCUCUGCUCAAAUGUCAUCUUUUUAGAGAUAGCUUUCCUAAACAUCUUUAAAAGUACCCCAUGAACUGUGAAACACCUUUCCUGCUUUUUCUUCAUAGUACUUAUCACUUCCUGAUAUUAUGUUAGACAACAAGCAAAUAAGUAUAUGCUGUUCCCACUAAAAUAUAAGCUCCAUUUGAACAGGAGCCUUGAUUAUUCCUGAGUAUACCCCUAGUGCCCAGAACCUAGUAGGGCUUUAAUAAAUAUUAGAUUCAUUUGUUGAAUGAAAAAAUGAAUGAAUAAUUGAAUAAAGAUAUCCAGGUAGAGUGUCCGGGCAGCCCAACCUAUGUGAAGCCAGUACAAGAAUGUUUCUGUGACAUAGUGAGCGCAAUUAUUCCUCUAAAUGAUGAACUUGCAUGAGUACACAAGGAUAAAAUUAAGCACGUAGUUUAGAUUUCUGCAAGUCUCUUCCUCAGAUUGAGGAAAAACAAAGAAAUUGAGCUUAUUCUCACCUCAUUCUUACAUGAACUAAAUCCAGAAUAAAGCAUCAUUUAAAUACCAAGCACAUCCCUACCUCAGCCACUCAUGGAAUACUUUAUCUGUAAAGGGACAGAUAGAUAGUAAAUAUUUUUGGCUUUGGGGACCGUACAGUCUGUGUCGCCACUACUCAGCACUUCUGUUGAGGUGUGGAAUCAGCCCUAGACAACACAUAAACAAAUGGGUGUGGCUGUGUUCCAAUAAAAUGUUAUUUAUAAAACUAGGAAAUCAGCAGAUUUAGUCCACAGGCUGUAGUUUGCUGACCCUUGAAUUAGAGAGUCUUCCCCAAAUCCUCUUCCCAAGUUAUUGAAAGAAUGCCCAUAGGACCAUAGCUCCCUCACCUGGUUCUUUCAAGAAAUGAGACAAAUUCAGGGAUGGUUGGAGGGUGGAACGCCUACCUGUGACAUGACUAUUGAGCCUGAUUUCUUUCCUUUUAUCUCUUUAAAGUGAGUCAGGUCUUAACUUUAAACUGUCUCUAAAGUGGCAAUAACUGGGCCAUGUCAAAUACUCCCAAUGACAAAAUUUCUUCUUGGAGAAUGAAUGAGGGUUGCAUACAGUGGUGUGUUGGUAAAUGUUUAGCAACUGGCUCUCUUACUGAUUUCUGUAGUGUAAAUUCUCCCAUCCUGGCCAUCUGAAACUACCAAUAUGAUGUCACUUGAUGUAGAGUUGGGAAAAGACAGUCUCUUGAAUAAGUAUGAGCUGGUUCCAGCCCACUGCUGAACACAUAUUUAAAAGCUACAAUAGCUCUGCUCACUGCCAUUGCAGAGUCUGGAGGAAAGAGUAGCAGGCUUGAUAGGAGCAAUUGGCUGAAUAAUCUUUUGCAAUGCCAAUAAAUAAUGAAAAAGUAUAUAAAUAUAACGCUGUAUAGAAAGCUCUCAAGUUCAGUGUUUGGUUAAAAUACAUACUCAGUAAAUGGUAGCUAUUAUUGUCUUAGUUUAAGUUAUUGCAAGCAUUAAAAUUAAAUGUUUAGCUACAGACUCAAUCCAGUUUUAAUGUCAUUGUGUUAAUAAGGCCUCUUAACAUUGAAGCAACAAAGAUAAAGGAAUUUUUUUGUAGCUAUUCACGAUUCUGCCCAGCUCAAGGUAAAGAUAGCAACAAAAUACUCCAACCAGAAUAAAAGAAGUCUCCACUUGACUGCAGCUCUUCGCAACACUUCACAAGGGUCAAGCUGUGUUAGUUUCCUUCAGUGUUAAACAGAAUGCAUCUUAAGAGAAUAGUUCAAUUAUUGAUUGAAUAGUAGGUUCAAGUUGACUAUAAUCCCAACUAAUACACUCUAAGACCAGGGAUGGGCCGACAGAAGGGUAAAGUUUUCCACUCAAGUCUCGAGGCAAACACUCAGAUAGAAGUAGUAAUAUGGAUGCCUUCUAUUAUUUGGUCACAUACAAUACUGUUCCAGCCCAGUUGUGCAAAACUGGUGAAAUAAAAGGCAAAAAUAUUGACAACAGUUUGGGUAACUGGAUUCCAAAAUGGGCAUCCAUCUAAGAGAAAUUAAUGAAAAAAAAGCAUAUGGACCUUGAAAUACAUUAAUACACAGUUUAGGUUUAAACACUCAGUUUUUAUUAGAAAAGACUAACUUAUCCUGUUUUGAACACUACAAAAGUGCUUUCUGAACCAUUUACUCUCAAACCUCCUCCACCCAUUCCCCUCCAUCUAUAACGCUUUCUGCACAUCUGUAAAAGGUAUGACUUAGUGUUUGGUCUGUGAAAUAAGGUUAAAAAGGAAGCAUUUCUUUUUACAUUCUAGCUAAUGUUGAUAUUUUUCUCAUGCUUCUAUUAGCACAUAAUUCAGAUACAUUAGUUUUGAAGUUUUGAAUCUUCUCUGCUUCUUGAGGGCUCUCUGUUCUAGAUCAACAUGAUCUGUGGAACACCAGCCAAGUCCUGGGCAGAACCCUCCCCGUUGUCCAAAUAUUACUGAAUCAGUUGAGUUUUCUCUGUUGUCAAUGAAUUAUUCCACAUGUUUCUUUGGCUACAUUUUUUUUGGCUUUCUGUUCACAGUAAAUAUAGCCUUUGUUUUUAAAAACUUCUAUUAUGAAAAUUCCAAAUAUAUGCAAAUUAGAGAGAAUAGCAUAAUGAACCUCUAUGUGCUUAUCACACAUAUAGGUUCAACUAAUUAAAUUAUAUCAAUUUAUGGCCAAUCUGGUUUCAUUUAUAACAUCAUUCGCUCAUUCCUAACUCCCUGGAUUAUUUGAUUGACAUGUUUCUAAAGUUCCUUUUAAUCUGUAGGUUCCCCCUCUCAUUUAAUCUUUUGCAACUUAUUCAUUGAUGAAACUGGGUUAUUUGUCCUUUAUUGUUUCUCUCAUUCUGAAAUAUGCUGUAAUGUCAUUAACCAUAUUCUUCUUUCCUGUAUUUUCUGUAAGCUUUGAGCUAGGCAGAAAUAUUUUAAUCAGAUUCCUUUUUUUUUCUUUUAGCAAGAUUUCUUCAUAAAUAAUAUUGUAUGUGUUCAUGAAAAUAGAAAUAAAAAUAGAAAUAAAGAAGAAAUAACAGAAAA
rnacentral:lncRNA from 1 species